GGGGCUGUAUCUCAGUGGUAGAGCUUCUGCUUUGUAAGCAGAAGGUCCCAGAUUCAACCCCUGGCAGCAUCU